AGUGAACGCUGGCGGUAGGCCUAACACAUGCAAGUCGAACGGCAGCACAGUAAGAGCUUGCUCUUACGGGUGGCGAGUGGCGGACGGGUGAGGAGUACAUCGGAAUCUACUUUUUCGUGGGGGAUAACGUAGGGAAACUUACGCUAAUGCCGCAUACGACCUACGGGUGAAAGCAGGGGAUCUUCGGACCUUGCGCGAUUGAAUGAGCCGAUGUCGGAUUAGCUAGUUGGCGGGGUAAAGGCCCACCAAGGCGACGAUCCGUAGCUGGUCUGAGAGGAUGAUCAGCCACACUGGAACUGAGACACGGUCCAGACUCCUACGGGAGGCAGCAGUGGGGAAUAUUGGACAAUGGGCGCAAGCCUGAUCCAGCCAUACCGCGUGGGUGAAGAAGGCCUUCGGGUUGUAAAGCCCUUUUGUUGGGAAAGAAAAGCAGCAGGUUAAUACCCCGCUGUUCUGACGGUACCCAAAGAAUAAGCACCGGCUAACUUCGUG
rnacentral:rRNA from 1 species